rnacentral:rRNA from 1 species
CCUACGGGUGGCUGCAGUGGGGAAUAUUGGACAAUGGGCGAAAGCCUGAUCCAGCCAUGCCGCGUGUGUGAAGAAGGCCUUCGGGUUGUAAAGCACUUUCAGUGGGGAAGAAAGCCUUGGGGCUAAUACCCUCGAGGAAGGACAUCACCCACAGAAGAAGCACCGGCUAACUCCGUGCCAGCAGCCGCGGUAAUACGGAGGGUGCGAGCGUUAAUCGGAAUUACUGGGCGUAAAGCGCGCGUAGGCGGUCUGAUAAGCCGGUUGUGAAAGCCCCGGGCUCAACCUGGGAACGGCAUCCGGAACUGUCAGGCUAGAGUGCAGGAGAGGAAGGUAGAAUUCCCGGUGUAGCGGUGAAAUGCGUAGAGAUCGGGAGGAAUACCAGUGGCGAAGGCGGCCUUCUGGACUGACACUGACGCUGAUGUGCGAAAGCGUGGGUAGCAAACAGGAUUAGAUACCCUAGUAGUC